AGAGACAAGGGAUUUUGAUGUUAAAGAGAUUGAUAUUAUUAGUGAUGGAGAGGAGAUUGUUCAAGAAUUUCAACCUGAAGAUUCAAAGGAGAUUAUUUAGGAAUUUCAACCUGAAGAUUCAAUCCAGCAAAGUUUUGAAGAUGAUAUAAAUGAUGCAAAUGAUGAGAAUAAUCCAGGUUUUGAGAAUUGGAACAAUGGAGGUGGAUUGGGAUUGCCGAUUCGAGGAAAGACCAUUGUAGGCCAAGCUGGAAAAACAGUUCUCUGGCAAUAAAAACAGAUUUCUGUAGAGUAUUGGACGGAGCAUGUAUUUAUGGAUCAUUGCUAUAUUGCAACUGUGGUCACUGUUCUAAUAAACAUGAAUUUCUGAUUGACUUGAGUGUGGAAAUUGAGGAUGUGGUAACUAUUCAAGAUGCUUUAGAAUCUCUCACCAAGGUGGACCAAAUUGCUGAUUUUGGAACAAAGUUUGGAGGUGACAAUUGUAAGGAGGAACUGUCUAAGGAGCAACAAUUUAUGAUAGACCAGGCUCCUACAAUUGCUACAUUGCAUUUGAAGAGAUUCAAGACAAGGGGAUCAUCAUUUAUUGAGAAGAUUGGCAAGCAUAUAGAGUUUCCAUUAGAAUUGGAGUUGAAACCCUACACCAAUUGAGAAGAAAUUACAGAAAUA
rnacentral:misc_RNA from 1 species